AAUCAUUUUUUUUCAAAUGUGUCAUACAGAAGUUUUACAGUACUGCUUGUCUCGAAACUUCUUCCUUUCAAGUGGAAGGAAGGAAGAGAGUGAAGAGGCACACCAGAGUCCUAUAGAGCUACUGCACUUCAACACUUCCGUCAUGUUUCUGCUCUUUACAUUCCUUUCCAGAACAAUUUCUAAGUAUUAAGACAGAGCCUGCUACCCAUACUUCUUGCUUAUUUUAUAAGGAUGUGACAAGAUAGUUACAAAUACUCCACAGGCUGACAGGAAGGAUAUUUGCAACACUCAGCUUUAUACAUCCAGCUUGGCUGAUUAAGUUAAAAGGGUGUUAUGCCUUGAGCUCCUUAUGUAAACUGUAGGGAAAACAGCUCCUUUGAGGGAGACUGAGAGCAAGACUUACAUCAUGUGGAUGGAACGGAACAAGCUGAGGGCAACCAGCUGGAAACCAGAUGGGUCCUGGAUGACACCAUGAUGACCAUGAGAUAGCAAAGUGCUGUGGUGGCAAAGACCAACAUCUUCCUGAGCUACUUUAGGUGAAGCAUUGCCAGGAGGUCAAGGGAGGUGACCCUUCCCCUCUACUCAGCACUGGUGAGACCCAUCUGGAGUGCUGGGUCCACCUCUGAGCCCCUCAGGACAAAAGAGACAUGGACAUACUAGAACAAAUCCAGCAAAAGGCCAUGAAGACGCAUGAAGAGUACCUGUCGUGAGGAGAAGCUGAGAGAGCUGGGUUUGUUCAGCCUGGAGGAGAGAAGGCUCAGGAGAACCUCAAUCAGUGUCUAUAAAAACCUUCUUAUUCCUCUUUGAAUUUUUUUCUUGCUUCUCAAAAUGUAAGUCAUAUCACCAUUAUCAUUUUCACAUCAGUAAAUCACUUUUAAGUGAUCCUAAUAGCAUUACUUGAUGACAGGAUUUUUGAGGGAACUAAGGGAAUCUAAUUUAUACAUCACCCUCAUGCUUUUGUUCAAAGGCUUUUUGUUUAGUCUGUUCACAUACCAGCCCUACAUAUAAAGCCAUUUCUGAUGAAGCAGUUAUACUAUUUUAAAUAUAUAUUCACAGAUAGAAAGGCCAGAUCUCUAUCCUGAGCUUCAUAGUACAAUGUGCAGUAUGUAACUUUGCAAUUCUACUCUAUGCAUGUAAUUCUUACACAGUAAGAGUUUUUAUUUUCAAGAAGUUACCUUCCUAUCAAAAAAUGCACCAAACAAGGCAUGACAAUAACCAGUACUAACAACUGAAUGCAAAAGUCGUUGAGACAUAAAACAAGUCAUAAAUAGAAAACACAUUUCAGUAAGCAUCUUGAUAAUAAUGUUACAACUGUCUGGAAGAAUCACACAUCAGGCUCAUUUUACUGCCAUCUUUCAUACCAGUUUUACCGUCUCUACCCCAGACAGCAGGCUAAGUAUAGGUAUCACUAACAUACAUGAAACCAGACGGCAGCCAGUAUUCUUGCAUAGCUUCCAGCUCAGCUGUCAUCCCGUCUGAUUCUCAGUGGGCUCAGAUAUAAUCCAUUGAAGAUGUCAUUCCCACAGGAAGCUGGGGAUCAGUUCACACAGAACUUUGUGUUUGUUUGCAUACGUGUAUUCACUGUAGUUAAUGUCAUUUUACUGACUGCACUUAAAAGUUCCUCUCCCUGCCCUGUACCAUGUGAAAUGAGAUUAUCCCUCAAACCAUGAGACUGUUUCUGACAAAACAUAUGCGAAUGACACCACAGAAUGUCUGCCACAUCCAUGAGAACUACCGGUUUCAGAAAACAAAACCAACUUAAAUAGCUUCAAAUCCUAUAUUGUCUGCAUUACUUCUACUAGAAAUGAUGGAUUGGUCACCUUUUUAAGCUUAUGGUCCAGAAUGAUUGCAAAGUGAUUAUAAACCAAACCUUUAAAUCUCAUACAGAUCUCAACUUUUUCAUACAGGAUGUCAUUCACUAAUGUUGCUAUGUCACAUUAUCUUCCCAGGAUAUUUUGAAAAAAAAAAGAAACUGUUUUGACUCAAAAAUUAUUGUAAGGAUAAAAAUACAAAGAAAAACAGUAAAAGCAGGACUAAAAAUAACAUCUAUUAAUGAAAUGUUACAAUUUCUCCCACAAUAUGAAGAGAUUUUAGUAAGACAGUCAAAAAUCUUAAUUUAAGAGUCAGUUCAUUUAUAGCUAGAAUUAUAGGAGAUGUAUGUUAUGGUACUGAGCAGUGAGUGGCCAAGGACUGUUCCAAAAUGACCUUAAGCUCAUUCUUCUAAAUCAGUUCAAACUUUUUCCCCAUAAACAUCACCUACCAGGCCCUUUUCCACUACAAAUUCUAUGGACUCAUAAAAAUUUAUCCUCCCUGAAAAAAAAAAAAAAAAAAAAAAAAGGAGAUAGAAGGAAAUCUGCAUUUGG